CACGUAGGGCGCAAGCGUUGUCCGGAAUUAUUGGGCGUAAAGAGCUCGUAGGCGGACUGUCACGUCCGCUGUGAAAAGCUAGGGCUUAACCCUGGCCUUGCAGUGGAUACGGGCAGACUAGAGGUAGGUAGGGGAGAAUGGAAUUCCCGGUGUAGCGGUGAAAUGCGCAGAUAUCGGGAGGAACACCGGUGGCGAAGGCGGAUCUCUGGGCCGAUACUGACGCUGAGGAGCGAAAGCGUGGGGAGCGAACAGG
rnacentral:rRNA from 1 species